GAUGAACGCUGGCGGCGUGCCUAACCCAUGUAAGUCGGGCGAUCUGUUAGAAAUGACAGAGAGCGGCGGAAGGGUGAGUAACACGUAGAAGACCUGCCUCAUCGCAGGGAACAACAGUCCGAAAGGAUUGCUAAUACCCAAAAAGCUCGCAGAUUCGAUUGUGCGAGAAGAGUACCGCAAGGUGCGUGAUGAGAGGGUUCUGCGGCCCAUCAGCUAGUUGGCAGGGUAACGGCCUACCAAGGCAACGACGGGUAGGGGGUCUGAGAGGAUGGUCCCCCACACUGGAACUGAAACACGGUCCAGACGCCUACGGGUGGCAG
rnacentral:rRNA from 1 species